rnacentral:rRNA from 1 species
AGGAUGAACGCUGGCGGCGUGCCUAACACAUGCAAGUCGAACGUCCUGUCUCGCAAGAGGCAGGGAGUGGCGGACGGGUGAGUACCACGUGGGUCAUCUACCGUGAGGUGAGGAAUACCGGCGAGAAAUCGCCGACAAGACCGCAUAGGCUCGAUGCAAGUCGAGCAAAGCUCUUUCGAGAGAGGGAGCGCCACACGAGGAGCCUGCGCCCGAUUAGCUAGCUGGUGGAGUAAUGGUUCACCAGGGCGACGAUCGGUAGCUGGUCUGAGAGGACGAUCAGCCACACUGGGAUUGAGAACGGCCCAGACUCCUACGGGGGGCAGCAGUGAGGAAUUUUCGUCAAUGGGGGCAACCCUGAACGAGCAACGCCGCGUGCAGGAAGAAGGUUUUCGGAUCGUAAACUGCUUUUCUCGGGGAAGAGAACGGACGGUACCCGAGGAAUCGAGCCCCGGCUAACUACGCGCCAGCAGCCGCGU